rnacentral:rRNA from 1 species
GAUGAACGCUGGCGGCGUGCCUAAUAUAUGCAAGUCGAGCGAACAGAUGAGGAGCUUGCUCCUCUGACGUUAGCGGCGGACGGGUGAGUAACACGUGGAUAACCUACCUAUAAGACUGGGAUAACUUCGGGAAACCGGAGCUAAUACCGGAUAAUAUAUUGAACCGCAUGGUUCAAUAGUGAAAGACGGUUUUGCUGUCACUUAUAGAUGGAUCCGCGCCGCAUUAGCUAGUUGGUAAGGUAACGGCUUACCAAGGCGACGAUGCGUAGCCGACCUGAGAGGGUGAUCGGCCACACUGGAACUGAGACACGGUCCAGACUCCUACGGGAGGCAGCAGUAGGGAAUCUUCCGCAAUGGGCGAAAGCCUGACGGAGCAACGCCGCGUGAGUGAUGAAGGUCUUCGGAUCGUAAAACUCUGUUAUUAGGGAAGAACAAAUGUGUAAGUAACUAUGCACGUCUUGACGGUACCUAAUCAGAAAGCCACGGCUAACUACGUG